UACGGAGGGUGCAAGCGUUAAUCGGAAUUACUGGGCGUAAAGCGUGCGCAGGCGGUUUGUUAAGUCUGCUGUGAAAUCCCCGAGCUCAACUUGGGAAUUGCAGUGGAUACUGGCAAGCUGGAGUACGGUAGAGGAAGGUGGAAUUCCCGGUGUAGCAGUGAAAUGCGUAGAGAUCGGGAGGAACACCAGUGGCGAAGGCGGCUACCAGGACCAGCACUGACACUGAAGCACGAAAGCGUGGGGAGCAAACAGG
rnacentral:rRNA from 1 species